ACGGCCCUGAGAAAAUGCCCUGUUUAAAGUAGGCAUUUAGGUAAGGGGGGGUUUUGGGGGUUAAAGUGCUGGACCCCUAGGCUGAAAUUUUAGGUUGGUGGCAUAAAGGCAUGCUCAAAAAAGUGGGAGAUUAGAAUUCACGUUAACACCCCCAUCCUACCACAAACCUAGAAAAGUAAUUCUAAUUUGGAGAAAAGUAAAAUUUUGGGGAGGGGCUAAAACUAAUAUUGAUUUAUAGAUGUCAUCUGUGUUUACCGUAAAUAUCUCAGGGAGCGGUUAGGCUUUAGGACUCAUACUCCUAAGAUGUAUUUCUCUGAUAAUCAUUCAUUAAUGGAUUUGCAAACACAUAGCUAAUUUUAUAGCAGAUAUUUAUGUGUCUGCUGUAUUAACAUUCUAAUUUAUGAGCAUAAAUGCACAGGUGCUAGUCACCUAGUAAACCUUGCGCCAGCGUGUGCGGUUAAACAGCUGGGAGUGUUUGAUGCCUAUAUUGUGCCCUUUUAAGAGGGGCUUAUAGUCGCGAAAAACGCGAAAGUUGAAACAAAUCCUGGUGGGUAGUUUUGCAGUUCAGAUAUGAGUCCUGAGUAUCCUAUGGAUGCAAUAAUGUUCUGGGGAUGAUCUAAAUCACGUGGCGGUGCUCUUGAAAGCUCGGGCGACUUCGGUGUGAAUAGUAAACCUGAAGUUAGUUGGCUUCAAGGCCUCUUGUAUGAUUGAAUAUUUCUGGUAGCAAUUAUUCAAAUGCCAUAGGGGCUAAGUUAAUUUGCCUGAGUCUUAGUAUUAAUUCAAAUCAAGGAUUUACGAGUAGUUGAUGACAAAUGAAGGUAUCAGGAGUGAGUACAUAUCGCCCGUCAACACCUCACAGGUGUAAGUCGUAACAUAGUGAUCCUACUUGAAAGUGGGGUU
rnacentral:rRNA from 1 species